CUUCGAUGGCCCUCCCUCAGAAAAAAAGGUUCGGCGUGCUCGCAGAACUCUGUUCGCGCUCUCCGCGAAGUCCCCAACCCCAACCAUGGCGAUCGGCGAAACUGCAAGGGCGAGCAGCGGUCACGGAAACCUGUCACCCUAUCCGAUGAAUCCCGGAGGGAUCAGGGGGAGCAGAGUGGUGCACAACAGUGGUAUUACCAAAUCACAAAUCUUUUGCUUACAUCAGCAAGUGGACACCUUGUGAGCAAAACUCAAGCUUAGGUCCAGAUUUCUUCAAUCAGUGGUGCUUCAAUUAUGCGUAGGGAAAUUCAAUAUUCUAUUAUUCAACAAAACAAAGUUUCAACUGUGGUAUUGCAGUUUCAACUUGCGAUUUUCUC